UGGGGAAUAUUGGACAAUGGGUGCAAGCCUGAUCCAGCCAUGCCGCGUGAGUGAUGAAGGCCCUAGGGUUGUAAAGCUCUUUCACCGGUGAAGAUAAUGACGGUAACCGGAGAAGAAGCCCCGGCUAACUUCGUGCCAGCAGCCGCGGUAAUACGAAGGGGGCUAGCGUUGUUCGGAUUUACUGGGCGUAAAGCGCACGUAGGCGGACUAUUAAGUCAGGGGUGAAAUCCCGGGGCUCAACCCCGGAACUGCCUUUGAUACUGGUAGUCUUGAGUUCGAGAGAGGUGAGUGGAAUUCCGAGUGUAGAGGUGAAAUUCGUAGAUAUUCGGAGGAACACCAGUGGCGAAGGCGGCUCACUGGCUCGAUACUGACGCUGAGGUGCGAAAGCGUGGGGAGCAAACAGG
rnacentral:rRNA from 1 species